rnacentral:lncRNA from 1 species
CAUCUUCCCUGCACCUAAAGUUCACCUGCAAUAUAUGACAAGCAAAGAACUGCUAACAGAGAAGGCUGUUCUAGUCUGUAAGUCACCCAUUACCAUAAACUCUGGUUUUGAGCUACUUGCAGCAGCAGCUAUUGGCUGUGUAAAAAAUUUCACAUUGAUGCUACACUGUUUGACUGAAACAUAUUACUGUGAAGCACUCAGUGAACAGGAAUAUCUGCCCUCUGUUGGAUCCUGCCCACCAAAAAAUUGGUGGGACUCAGAGAAGCUGGUGCUACUUUUCACAUAAAUUCUGUGAUCCAGCAACUAUAUAUAAUCCUAGUCAUCAGAAACAGUAUUUCUACAAUUGAAAAAACAGUUAGUGAUAAAGAUGAUGAUUGUUCAAAGAUGAGGAACAAAAU